rnacentral:lncRNA from 1 species
UGUUUGUUUGUUUUAAUAGUUUAACCUUAUAGCAUCUACAUAUUUGUACUAUCAUGGUACGGUUUUGAAAAUUGUAUUCAUUGUGUGUCCAACUAUCCUACACGUCUUGAUUCAUACACAUUAUAGAUCACAUUUCAAAAGCACACUAUCGGUUUGCGUUCUCAAAAAUUCCGGAUAAAAUGUCAAUGAAUCCGGAAUCAAAACAUUUAAUGUAGGCCGUUUGACAUUCGAAUUCAAUAUUAGAUUAAGAUAUGUGAUGACGCAAAUGCGUAUUCUUUUCCUGAGUAUCAGUGAGAUGCUUUCUAUUUACUAUUUCGUGCGCUAAAAUACUACUUGCAUGUAAUACUAUUAGAUUCACUCGUGAAAGCUUAUUUUCGUUUUUGUUAUCUAAAUUCAGGACACGACAGAAAGAGCUUUACAUGUGACUUUCAAGCACGGUCAUCAUUACUAACGGUAUUCUGACCUCGAGUUAUUUCUCUUUUGUUUCUUUUUUGAGUCACUGUCCUAUUAUAAAC